UCUUGAACCAAUUCUUUCUACAUGAACUUGAGCAAGACCCAUAUGUAGAAAAAGACAUUAGCAACUAGGGGUUUUGCUCAAGACACUGGCACCUAAAUCUUGCUCAUACACAUGUUACCUGGGUUAAUUAGUAUUGAAACUUAUCGGAAAAAAAAAUGGUUCCUGAUUAUUUAUUGGUGAUUAUGAUUAAAGCGCGCACACGGCGCACAAUUUGAAUUUCUAGCCCUAUUAAAAUUUGAAAAUAAGUAUCAAGAACAUAACAACUCAAUUUCAAGAUUUGGGAUCAUGAAAACAGCUAGAGGUCACCAUCAUUUCCGUUUUUAGGCCAAACAUGGCUACCGUCAUUCCCAUGUUAUGCUAACUUGUUGACCAAAAUUUGGGAAUCUCUUAGAAUUAAGUAUUCGAAAGGUCUUUGCUUACUAAAAGCAUUACAAUCAUUUCAAAGUUCUUAAAAAAUAACCUGGAUUAAACAUGGCAGUUCAAAUAUUUCAACAGCUAAUAAUGCCAAUAAUAAACGAAUUCAGAGACGUUAAUUUCGAGCGUGCAGUUAAAAUUAUUCUAUUAUUGGUUGUAUGCGAAUUAGGUCUUAGUGUGGAAAAUGUCUUUAUUCGCUGGGCAAUGCUUAAUAUCAUAACCGCUGUUAUAUUAGGACUUGAGCUCGGGUCCAACUGGUUUUUUACUAAAUCGCCAUAUAUUCUAUUGUUACAAUUAAUUUUGUUAAUUAUCUGUAUAACAUUAACAAGUAUUUUGGGUUAUCUAAGUUGUACGUUAGAGAUAAUUAUGACAAUCGAAGAACAGAUUGAUAAUUAAAAUAACUGAUAUGUUUAUGACUCAUUGUCACAUAUGUCUUCCAAAGAAAAAUAAUUUAACCCUUCGUAGGUAGCG
rnacentral:misc_RNA from 1 species